AGCGAACGCUGGCGGCGUGCUUAACACAUGCAAGUCGCGCGCGAAAGCGGCCCUCGGGUCGUGAGUAGAGCGGCGCACGGGUGCGUAAGACGCGGGUGACCUAUCCACGAGGUGGGGAUAACCUUUCGAAAGAGGGGCUAAUACCGGAUGAGCCCACAGGCAGAGAUGCCAGGGGUAAGGGUAGCGGUUACUAGCGCAUCUCUUCGUGGCGGGGCCCGACCGGCC
rnacentral:rRNA from 1 species